AUUAUAUAUUCGGGUGGAUGGCAAGUGAUAAACGGAUGACAGAUCGAGUGAUGGAUGAAACGGAGCACCACCCGUAUCCGACCCGAUUUGUCACCCGCUUCAUCUGUCACCCGCCCUUCAUCCAUUUAAUUAUAUCGGGUGGAUCGAAUUUGCGGAUGUCCAUUUAGAAUUGCCAUCCCUAGGGACGUCCGCUAAAAAUAAUCCCACCUUUAGGUUAUUUUUAAAUAAUCCGAGCUUUAUACUCAAUCCACUCAAAAUGGUCCCAACUGGUCAUGUAACUUGUUUUAACAAUUUACUUGACACGUGACGGCGUGUGAUUGGUCCAAAAAAAUAAAAAUAAAAAAAUAAUUUUCUUUAAAAAAGUUAAAUUUUAUAAAUAAAAAUUAAAAAAAAAUUAAUUAUUUUUAAACCACCCCUGGCUGGUGGCUACCUAAGCCACUCUCCAGUCCCGCAUCCCCGACCACCCAGAUCCCAACCCCAACGCCGACGCCGACUCCAACACUGCGCCCAACCCCCCUCCCCCGAACCACCAACCAACCUCUAAUUCCCUUCCCCGUCCCACUACUAGAAAGACACUUUUAACAAACCAUCUAACAACGACGAAAUCAAAAUAAUUAUCGUUAAACUUGUUAAAAUUAAAAACUGAAUUGAAAGGCAGGCCUGUUUCAAAAUUUUAAAAAACGUAGCGGUUUAUUUUUAAAAAAAAAAAAAAAAAUUUCAUUGUCGUUAAUGGUAAACUCACUUUAUGAAUUUUACCAAACCCUUAUUAAAAUUAAGAUACACCGUAUAAACAAAACCCUUCUCAGUUCUCACAAACUGUUCCCUACUUGAUCUCACACCUCUGCCUAACUGCCAUCACGACACCACCGCUGCUACCACCAGGCCAGCCAUUGUCGUCUAACCCAAGCCAAACCCUAACGCUGCUACACCACACAAAUCGCGGAUGCCCUCUUUCUUCUCUUCAUUCUCCCAGUUUCAUUCACUCUCUUCUACACCGCCCAACUACCGGAAACCACCGUCGUCCAUACCUAGCCGCCUUCUGCCGUAGUCCUUCACUUGACAUCGGCCUAGCCACAGCCGCACGACAACCUUAUAAUUGGGAGAUAGAGGAGGGUGGUACAAGAAAAGGAAAAGGCAUGCAUCUACAAAAGUAUGGAGUUGGAGGAGCCUUGAAGCAAGAGAAGAAACUGGUGGACUUAUAUAUUUAUCAAAUUUCAUAAUUCUUCUGUUAAAAAGAGACGUCAUUUAUGAAAUGGAGUAUAUAAGGCUUCGUUAAGCUAUUUCGUUGAUACCACUCAUUGUCAAAUGUAGAUAAACCAUGUUGGUUUUCCUUGUAUUGAUUAGUUUAAUGAUCCUAUGGAUAGUGUAAUAUUUGGGUUUCACCGGACAUAGAAUGCUUAGUAAUUAUUAAUUCAAAAUUUAUUAUUCUUAUGAA